AAAUUAUCUUGGAAAGCAAAAUAAAAAUAUUUAUCUUUUUACAACGGUUAGUAUUUUAUUGGGUUGUGUGAGGCAACGAGUAGAUUUUGCUUUCAAAUUUUUUACAGUGAAUAAAAAACAAUAAAUUAUCUUGGAAAGCAAAAUAAAAAUAUUUAUCUUUUUACAACGUUAGUAUUUUAUUGGGUUGUGUGAGGCAACAGGUAGAUUUUGCUAUUUUCAUUUACUUUUUUUUUUGUUUAUUUGCUAUAAAUAGUCUGGUUCACAGAAGGCAAAUAGUCCAACAACAACAACAACAACAACUAGAGAAAGAGAGAGAACUAAAGAAGCUACUUGUCGUGUAAUAUCUUCAGUGUGAGUGAGAGAUGUUCUAGUUAAUGGCUUUUCCUUGAUCUCGUUCUGUAUGGGGCUUUCAUUCUUCUUCUUCUUGGGUUCGUGGUUUGCCUCUCGGGGGAGUUAUUUCAAAUCUUGUUUCGGUGGUUUUGGUUGUGGGUGAUGUUUCACUGCCUGGUCUCCCUCCCGCUUGAGGUCCGGUUCCGGUCUUGUUGGUUGUGUGAGGUGGUGGUGGUGGAUUCAGUCUCGAUCGUUACCGACGGUACUCGUGUCUCCCUCCUCGUAUGGUCUGCUCAGCUUUCUUCUGGAUUCGGGGAGUUGAGUUGGGGCUUCCUAUCCGAAAGCAGUUGAUUGCAUUUUCAGGACGACCGUCGAUGUUGCCAAUAUUGGAUCACUGAUAAAAUUGGAUCUAUCCAUUUCGUCUGGCCAUGUCAUUGACGUCAGGGUCGCUGUCUUUCUCCAUCCGAAACUGAUUUGCAAGGUAUGGUCUUCUUUGCUAACCUAUUUUUUUUUUGUCAUAACAUUUUUUUCACAAUUUUUUUAAAAUAAAAACUUUCAAAAAUUUUAGGUGGAAAAUUCUAUAUUACUUUACUGAUAUUGAAAACUUAAUGUAUAAUUUGUGAAAAAAAAAAUUAAAUGUUACAUCCGGUCUUAAUUGAUAGUUAGAGAUUGUAUAUUUUUUUUUUGUCUUUACAUUUUUGAUCAUUUAGUUCUCUUAAUCAAUAUCGUAAUAAAGUUUUUUUUCCACUUCUCCUAUUUUCAAGUUUUAUUUUUGAGGGUAAAAUCUAUAUUAUUUGAUUGAUAAUGAAAAAUUAUGUGUAAUUUGUGAAAACAAAUUAAGCGUUGCAUCCGGUCAUUCGAGAUUCCGUCUCGUUUGUGAAAAAUCAAUCUCGUAAUAAAUGAUGUUUAGCGAUUGUAUAUGUUUUUUUGGUUGACACUUAUGAUCACUGAGUUUUUCAUUAUUAAUCUCGUAAUAAAACGUUUUCCCUCU